UACGGAGGGGGCUAGCGUUGUUCGGAAUUACUGGGCGUAAAGCGCACGUAGGCGGACCGGACAGUCAGAGGUGAAAUCCCAGGGCUCAACCUUGGAACUGCCUUUGAAACUAUCGGUCUGGAGUUCGAGAGAGGUGAGUGGAAUUCCGAGUGUAGAGGUGAAAUUCGUAGAUAUUCGGAGGAACACCAGUGGCGAAGGCGGCUCACUGGCCUGGUACUGACGCUGAGGUGCGAAAGCGUGGGGAGCAAACAGG
rnacentral:rRNA from 1 species